rnacentral:rRNA from 1 species
GAUGAACGCUGGCGGCAGGCCUAAUACAUGCAAGUCGAACGAAAACACGAUGAGCUUUUGCCCUUACCGUUAGCGGCGGGCGGGCGGGUAACGCGUAGAUAACCUACUUCUUUUUCGUGGAUGACAACGGGAAACCGCAGCUACUACCGCCUCAUACAUCCUACCGCUUGGUUCAGUAGUUAUACAGAGCUUUCGCGUUACUUUUAGAUGGUUCCGUGCCGGAUUAGCUAGUUGGUAAGGUAACGGCUUACCAAGGCGACGAUGCGUAGCCGAUCUGAGAGGGUGAUCAGCCACACUGGAACUGAGACACGGUCCAGACUCCUACGGGAGGCAGCAGUGGGGAAUCUUCGGCAAUGGGCGAAAGCCUGACGGAGCAACGCCGCGUGAGUGAUGAAGGUCUUCGGAUCGUAAAACUCUGUUAUUGGGGAAGAACAAAUGUGUAAGUAUCUCUGCCCGUCUUGACGGUACCUAAAGAGAAAGCCCCGGCUAACUACGUG